rnacentral:rRNA from 1 species
ACAGCAGCCGCCGCGGGAAUACGAAGGGUGCAAGCGUUAAUCGGAAUUACUGGGCGUAAAGCGUGCGUAGGCGGUUUGUUAAGUCUGUUGUGAAAUCCCCGGGCUCAACCUGGGAAUGGCAAUGGAUACUGGCAAGCUAGAGUGUGUCAGAGGAUGGUGGAAUUCCCGGUGUAGCGGUGAAAUGCGUAGAGAUCGGGAGGAACAUCAGUGGCGAAGGCGGCCAUCUGGGACAACACUGACGCUGAGGCACGAAAGCGUGGGGAGCAAACAGGAUUAGAGACCCCCGUAGUCCCUGUCUCUUAUAC